AACGUAGGAGACAAACGUUAUCCGGAGUUACUGGGCGUAAAGGGCGUGUAGGCGGACUGUUAAGUCUGGCGUGAAAGCUCCCGGCUAAACCGGGAGAGGUCGUUGGAUACUGGCAGACUAGAGGGUGGUAGAGGCGUGUGGAAUUCCGGGUGUAGUGGUGAAAUGCGUAGAGAUCCGGAGGAACACCAGUGGCGAAGGCGGCUGACUGGUCCGGAUCUGACGCUGAGGCGCGAAAGCGUGGGGAGCAAACAGG
rnacentral:rRNA from 1 species